CUCAGGAUGAACGCUGGCGGCGUGCCUAAUACAUGCAAGUCGAACGAAACUUCUUUAUCACCGAGUGCUUGCACUCACCGAUAAAGAGUUGAGUGGCGAACGGGUGAGUAACACGUGGGCAACCUGCCCAAAAGAGGGGGAUAACACUUGGAAACAGGUGCUAAUACCGCAUAACCAUAGUUACCGCAUGGUAACUAUGUAAAAGGUGGCUAUGCUACCGCUUUUGGAUGGGCCCGCGGCGCAUUAGCUAGUUGGUGGGGUAAAGGCUUACCAAGGCAAUGAUGCGUAGCCGAACUGAGAGGUUGAUCGGCCACAUUGGGACUGAGACACGGCCCAAACUCCUACGGGAGGCAGCAGUAGGGAAUCUUCCACAAUGGGCGAAAGCCUGAUGGAGCAACGCCGCGUGGGUGAAGAAGGUCUUCGGAUCGUAAAACCCUGUUGUUAGAGAAGAAAGUGCGUGAGAGUAACUGUUCACGUUUCGACGGUAUCUAACCAGAAAGCCACG
rnacentral:rRNA from 1 species